AUUGAACGCUGGCGGUAUGCUUAACACAUGCAAGUCGAACGAUGAGAAAGAGCUUGCUCUUUCGAUUAGUGGCGGACGGGUGCGUAACGCGUAGGAAUCUACCUAUUAGUGGGGGACAACUUAGGGGAACUUAAGCUAAUACCGCAUACGCCCUACGGGGGAAAGAAGGGGAUCGCAAGACCUUUUGCUAAUAGAUGAGCCUGCGUAGGAUUAGCUAGUUGGUGGGGUAAAAGCUCACCAAGGCGACGAUCCUUAACUGGUUUGAGAGAAUGAUCAGUCAAACUGGAACUGAGACACGGUCCAGACUCCUACGGGAGGCAGCAGUGGGGAAUAUUGGACAAUGGGCGAAAGCCUGAUCCAGCAAUACCGCGUGUGUGAAGAAGGCCUUAGGGUUGUAAAGCACUUUCAAUUGGAAGGAAAACCUCGAAGCUAAUACCUUCGAGUUUGACAUUACCUUUAGAAGAAGCACCGGCUAACUCCGUGCCAGCAGCCGCCGUAA
rnacentral:rRNA from 1 species